UACGGGGGGAGCAAGUGUUGUUCGGAUUUACUGGGCGUAAAGGGCGCGUAGGCGGUCGUGACAAGUCACUUGUGAAAUCUCCGGGCUUAACUCGGAAAGGUCAACUGAUACUGCGGGGCUAGAGUGCGGAAGGGGCAACUGGAAUUCCUGGUGUAGCGGUGAAAUGCGCAGAUAUCAGGAGGAACACCGAUUGCGAAGGCAGCUCGCUGGGACGUAACUGACGCUGAGACGCGAAAGCGUGGGGAGCAAACAGG
rnacentral:rRNA from 1 species